AUUGAACGCUGGCGGCAGGCCUAACACAUGCAAGUCGAACGGUAGCACAGAGGAGCUUGCUCCUUGGGUGACGAGUGGCGGACGGGUGAGUAAUGUCUGGGAAACUGCCCGAUGGAGGGGGAUAACUACUGGAAACGGUAGCUAAUACCGCAUAACGUCGCAAGACCAAAGAGGGGGACCUUCGGGCCUCUUGCCAUCGGAUGUGCCCAGAUGGGAUUAGCUAGUAGGUGGGGUAACGGCUCACCUAGGCGACGAUCCCUAGCUGGUCUGAGAGGAUGACCAGCCACACUGGAACUGAGACACGGUCCAGACUCCUACGGGAGGCAGCAGUGGGGAAUAUUGCACAAUGGGCGCAAGCCUGAUGCAGCCAUGCCGCGUGUAUGAAGAAGGCCUUCGGGUUGUAAAGUACUUUCAGCGAGGAGGAAGGCGUUGUGGUUAAUAACCGCAACGAUUGACGUUACUCGCAGAAGAAGCACCGGCUAACUCCGUGCCAGCCGGCCGCGGUAAAAGGG
rnacentral:rRNA from 1 species